GGCUCAGAACGAACGCUGGCGGCGUGCUUAACACAUGCAAGUCGAACGCGAAAGGGGGUUCGCCCCCGAGUAGAGUGGCAGACGGGUGAGUAACACGUGGGUAAUUUGUCCUUGGGUGUGGAAUAACUACCCGAAAGGGUGGCUAAUACCGCAUAAGACCACGUCUCUACGGAGAUGCGGUAAAAGAUUUCGGUUGCCUGAGGAGGAGCCCGCGGCCGAUUAGCUAGUUGGUGAGGUAAUGGCUCACCAAGGCAUCGAUCGGUAGCUGGUCUGAGAGGAUGAUCAGCCACACUGGUACUUAGACACGGACCAGACUCCUACGGGAGGCAGCAGUGGGGAAUAUUGCGCAAUGGGCGAAAGCCUGACGCAGCAACGCCGCGUGGGUGAUGAAGGCCUUUGGGUCGUAAAGCCCUGUCAGAUGGGAAGAAACCUGGUAACAGCUGACGGUACCAUCAAAGGAAGCACCGGCUAACUCCGUGCCAGCAGCCGCGGUAAUACGGAGGGUGCAAGCGUUGUUCGGAAUCACUGGGCGUAAAGGGAGCGUAGGCGGACUUUAAAGUCUGAUGUGAAAGCCCGGGGCUCAACUCCGGAAGUGCAUUGGAAACUUAAAGUCUUGAGUUCGGGAGAGGAAGGCAGAAUUCCCGGUGUAGGGGUGAAAUCCGUAGAGAUCGGGAGGAAAACCAGUGGCGAAGGCGGCCUUCUGGAACGAAACUGACGCUGAGGCUCGAAAGCGUGGGGAGCAAACAGGAUUAGAGACCCUGGUAGUCCACGCUGUAAACGAAGGGUGCUAGGUGUAGGGGUUAUUAACAAUCUCUGUGCCGCAGCUAACGCGAUAAGCACCCCGCCUGGGGAGUACGGUCG
rnacentral:rRNA from 1 species